rnacentral:rRNA from 2 species
AAAUUGAAGAGUUUGAUCAUGGCUCAGAUUGAACGCUGGCGGCAGGCCUAACACAUGCAAGUCGAACGGUAACAGGAAGCAGCUUGCUGCUUCGCUGACGAGUGGCGGACGGGUGAGUAAUGUCUGGGAAACUGCCUGAUGGAGGGGGAUAACUACUGGAAACGGUGGCUAAUACCGCAUAACGUCGCAAGACCAAAGAGGGGGACCUUCGGGCCUCUUGCCAUCAGAUGUGCCCAGAUGGGAUUAGCUAGUUGGUGAGGUAACGGCUCACCAAGGCGACGAUCCCUAGCUGGUCUGAGAGGAUGACCAGCCACACUGGAACUGAGACACGGUCCAGACUCCUACGGGAGGCAGCAGUGGGGAAUAUUGCACAAUGGGCGCAAGCCUGAUGCAGCCAUGCCGCGUGUAUGAAGAAGGCCUUCGGGUUGUAAAGUACUUUCAGCGGGGAGGAAGGUGUUGUGGUUAAUAACCGCAGCAAUUGACGUUACCCGCAGAAGAAGCACCGGCUAACUCCGUGCCAGCAGCCGCGGUAAUACGGAGGGUGCAAGCGUUAAUCGGAAUUACUGGGCGUAAAGCGCACGCAGGCGGUCUGUCAAGUCGGAUGUGAAAUCCCCGGGCUCAACCUGGGAACUGCAUUCGAAACUGGCAGGCUUGAGUCUUGUAGAGGGGGGUAGAAUUCCAGGUGUAGCGGUGAAAUGCGUAGAGAUCUGGAGGAAUACCGGUGGCGAAGGCGGCCCCCUGGACAAAGACUGACGCUCAGGUGCGAAAGCGUGGGGAGCAAACAGGAUUAGAUACCCUGGUAGUCCACGCCGUAAACGAUGUCUACUUGGAGGUUGUGCCCUUGAGGCGUGGCUUCCGGAGCUAACGCGUUAAGUAGACCGCCUGGGGAGUACGGCCGCAAGGUUAAAACUCAAAUGAAUUGACGGGGGCCCGCACAAGCGGUGGAGCAUGUGGUUUAAUUCGAUGCAACGCGAAGAACCUUACCUGGUCUUGACAUCCACAGAACUUUCCAGAGAUGGAUUGGUGCCUUCGGGAACUGUGAGACAGGUGCUGCAUGGCUGUCGUCAGCUCGUGUUGUGAAAUGUUGGGUUAAGUCCCGCAACGAGCGCAACCCUUAUCCUUUGUUGCCAGCGAUUAGGUCGGGAACUCAAAGGAGACUGCCAGUGAUAAACUGGAGGAAGGUGGGGAUGACGUCAAGUCAUCAUGGCCCUUACGACCAGGGCUACACACGUGCUACAAUGGCGCAUACAAAGAGAAGCGACCUCGCGAGAGUAAGCGGACCUCAUAAAGUGCGUCGUAGUCCGGAUUGGAGUCUGCAACUCGACUCCAUGAAGUCGGAAUCGCUAGUAAUCGUGGAUCAGAAUGCCACGGUGAAUACGUUCCCGGGCCUUGUACACACCGCCCGUCACACCAUGGGAGUGGGUUGCAAAAGAAGUAGGUAGCUUAACCUUCGGGAGGGCGCUUACCACUUUGUGAUUCAUGACUGGGGUGAAGUCGUAACAAGGUAACCGUAGGGGAACCUGCGGUUGGAUCACCUCCUUACCUUAAAGAA